rnacentral:rRNA from 1 species
GGAUUCCCCUAGUAACUGCGAGUGAAGCGGGAAAAGCUCAAAUUUAAAAUCUGGCAGCCUUUGGCUGUCCGAGUUGUAAUCUAGAGAAGUGCUAUCCGCGCUGGACCGUGUACAAGUCUCCUGGAAUGGAGCGUCAUAGAGGGUGAGAAUCCCGUCUUUGACACGGACUGCCAGGGCUUUGUGAUACGCUCUCAAAGAGUCGGGUUGUUUGGGAAUGCAGCUCAAAAUGGGUGGUAAAUUCCAUCUAAAGCUAAAUAUUGGCGAGAGACCGAUAGCGAACAAGUACCGUGAGGGAAAGAUGAAAAGAACUUUGGAAAGAGAGUUAAACAGUACGUGAAAUUGCUGAAAGGGAAACGCUUGAAGUCAGUCGCGUUGUCCAGGGAUCAACCUUGCUUUUGCUUGGUGCACUUUCUGGUUGACGGGUCAGCAUCAAUUUUGACUAUUGGAAAAAGAUUAGGGGAAUGUGACAUCUUUGGAUGUGUUAUAGCCCUUGGUUGCAUACAAUGGUUGGGAUUGAGGAACUCAGCACGCCGCAAGGCCGGGUUUUAAACCACGUACGUGCUUAGGAUGCUGGCAUAAUGGCUUUAAUCGACCCGUCUUGAAACACGGACCAAGGAGUCUAACAUGCCUGCGAGUGUUUGGGUGGAAAACCCGAGCGCGUAAUGAAAGUGAAAGUUGAGAUCCCUGUCGUGGGGAGCAUCGACGCCCGGACCAGACCUUUUGUGACGGUUCCGCGGUAGAGCAUGUAUGUUGGGACCCGAAAGAUGGUGAACUAUGCCUGAAUAGGGUGAAGCCAGGGGAAACCCUGGUGGAGGCUCGUAGCGAUUCUGACGUGCAAAUCGAUCGUCAAAUUUGGGUAUAGGGGCGAAAGACUAAUCGA